rnacentral:rRNA from 1 species
UACGAAGGGGGCUAGCGUUGCUCGGAAUGACUGGGCGUAAAGGGCGCGUAGGCGGCUUGCACCGUCAGAUGUGAAAUUCCUGGGCUUAACCUGGGGGCUGCAUUUGAUACGUGUGGGCUUGAGUGCGGAAGAGGGUCGUGGAAUUCCCAGUGUAGAGGUGAAAUUCGUAGAUAUUGGGAAGAACACCGGUGGCGAAGGCGGCGACCUGGUCCGUGACUGACGCUGAGGCGCGAAAGCAUGGGGAGCGAACAGG